UACGUAGGGGGCAAGCGUUAUCCGGAUUUACUGGGUGUAAAGGGAGCGUAGACGGCACUGCAAGUCUGGAGUGAAAGCCCGAGGCCCAACCACGGGACUGCUCUGGAAACUGCGGGGCUGGAGUGCAGGAGGGGUAAGCGGAAUUCCUAGUGUAGCGGUGAAAUGCGUAGAUAUUAGGAGGAACACCGGUGGCGAAGGCGGCUUCCUGGUCUGCAACUGACACUGAGGCGCGAAAGCGUGGGGAGCAAACAGG
rnacentral:rRNA from 1 species